GAAUAUAGUAGCUUAAUUAGCGGUAGAUUGUAAAUCUUCUUAUGGAAUACAUCCCGUAUUCA
rnacentral:tRNA from 1 species